rnacentral:lncRNA from 10 species
AGAAUGCCAUCUCUAGGAUGCCAAUGGGCUGUGUCUACAGUACUAUGUAGGAAAGUGCUGCAAGAGGUACUUGCACUGGGACUACUAAAAGAAACAACUUUACCCAUGAAGAAUGCAGAAAAGCAAGGCAGGAUGGUGGCCCACCCUGGAAGGACAUGGAGCCAAGGGAGCCUCCCCCAUCCAGGGAGGUGGUGAGUGAAUGCUGUGGCCCUGGGAACCCACGCUUCUCCCAUGGGUCUUCGUACCCUUGGGUCAGGAGAUCCCCUCGUGGACCCACUCCACCAGGGCCUUCAGUCUGACACACAGAACUAUGUGGAGUCUCAUCAGAGCAGCCAUUGAGUUUGCCGAGAAUGAUGGUUUCCAGCUUCAUCCAUGUCCCUGCAAAAGACAUGAACUCAUCAUUUUUUAUGGCUCCACAGUAUUCUAUGAAAUUCCUGUUCCUCUACUUCAAGACCAUGCAGUAGUGAGGUGCAGUGGCUCUUACCUGUAAUCCCAGCAAUUUGGAAGGCAGAGAAAACUUGCUGCAAUUAAAUGCCCUUUUUGGGAGAAUAUCUAGAAGAAAAUUGAGGAAGGAAGAAGUGAGAGAUAAAGGGUAUUCACAUUUUAAAUUUUGAUAGAAAUUUCUUGAUUACUUUAUAAAACUUAUAUUCAAACAGUA